GCAGUAGCCGCGGUAAUACGGAGGGGGCUAGCGUUGUUCGGAAUUACUGGGCGUAAAGCGCACGUAGGCGGCUUGGUAAGUUAGAGGUGAAAGCCCGGAGCUCAACUCCGGAAUUGCCUUUAAGACUGCCGAGCUAGCAGGUGAGAGAGGUAAGUGGAAUUCCGAGUGUAGAGGUGAAAUUCGUAGAUAUUCGGAAGAACACCAGUGGCGAAGGCGGCUUACUGGCUCAUACUGGACGCUGAGGUGCGAAAGCGUGGGGAGCAAACAGGAUUAGAUACCCCGGUAGUCCCUGUCUCUUAUAC
rnacentral:rRNA from 1 species